rnacentral:rRNA from 1 species
GAUGAACGCUGGCGGCGUGCCUAAUACAUGCAAGUCGAGCGAACGGACGAGAAGCUUGCUUUUCUGAUGUUAGCGGCGGACGGGGGGGAAACACUUGAUAAACCUCCUUUAAAACCUGGGAUAAUUUGGGGAAACCGGAGCUAAUACCGGAUAAUAUUUUGAACCCCAUGGUUCAAAAGUAAAAGACGGUUUUGCUGUCAUUUUUGGUUGGAUCCCGGCUGCAUUAGCUAGUUGUUAAGGUACCGGCUUACCAAGGCAACGAUGCAUAGCCGACCUGAGAGGGUGAUCGGCCACACUGGAACUGAGACACGGUCCAGACUCCUACGGGAGGCAGCAGUAGGGAAUCUUCCGCAAAGGGCGAAAGCCUGACGGAGCAACGCCGCGUGAGUGAUGAAGGUCUUCGGAUCGUAAAACUCUGUUAUUAGGGAAGAACAUAUGUGUAAGUAACUGUGCACAUCUUGACGGCACCUAAUCAGAAAGCCACGGCUAACUACGUG